rnacentral:rRNA from 1 species
UACAGAGGGUGCAAGCGUUUGUUCGGAAUUAUUGGGCGUAAAGCGCGUGUAGGCGGCUUUGCAAGUCGGGUGUGAAAGCCCUCAGCUCAACUGAGGAAGUGCGCCCGAAACUGCAGAGCUUGAGUGCCGGAGAGGGUGGCGGAAUUCCCCAAGUAGAGGUGAAAUUCGUAGAUAUGGGGAGGAACACCGGUGGCGAAGGCGGCCACCUGGACGGUAACUGACGCUGAGACGCGAAAGCGUGGGGAGCGAACAGG